GGGUGACCUCAGAUCAGGUAGGGAUACCCGCUGAACUUAAGCAUAUCAAUAAGCGGAGGAAAAGAAACCAACAGGGAUUGCCUCAGUAACGGCGAGUGAAGCGGCAAAAGCUCAGAUUUGAAAUCUGGCGUCAUUUUGGCGUCCGAGUUGUAAUCUGUAGAGGAGUAUUCGAGUGUGGCGCUGGCUUAAGUUCCUUGGAACAGGACGUCAUAGAGGGUGAGAACCCCGUUAACGGCCUUUGUCUUAUGCUCAUGUGAAUCUCCUUCAACGAGUCGAGUUGUUUGGGAAUGCAGCUCUAAAUGGGUGGUAAAUUCCAUCUAAAGCUAAAUACUGGCAAGAGACCGAUAGCGCACAAGUAGAGUGAUCGAAAGAUGAAAAGAACUCUGAACAGAGAGUUAAAUAGUACGUGAAAUUGUUGAAAGGGAAGCACUUGCUACCAGACACGCCUGUAGUUGAUCAACCUCCAUUUUUGGUGGUGCACUCAGCUAUAGGUGGGUCAGCAUCAGUUAUGGCGGUGGGAUAAAGACUUGGGGAAUGUGGCUUCUCUCGGGAAGUGUUAUAGCCCUGAGUGUAAUACCAUCUGCUAUGACUGAGGACCGCGCUUCGGCGAGGAUGCUGGCAUAAUGGUCGUAAGUGACCCGUCUG
rnacentral:rRNA from 1 species